ACAUGCAAGUCGAACGAGCUUCCGUUGAAUGACGUGCUUGCACUGAUUUUAACAAUGAAGCGAGUGGCGAACUGGUGAGUAACACGUGGGAAAUCUGCCCAGAAGCAGGGGAUAACACUUGGAAACAGGUGCUAAUACCGUAUAACAACAAAAUCCGCAUGGAUUUUGUUUGAAAGGUGGCUUCGGCUAUCACUUCUGGAUGAUCCCGCGGCGUAUUAGUUAGUUGGUGAGGUAAAGGCCCACCAAGACGAUGAUACGUAGCCGACCUGAGAGGGUAAUCGGCCACAUUGGGACUGAGACACGGCCCAAACUCCUACGGGAGGCAGCAGUAGGGAAUCUUCCACAAUGGACGAAAGUCUGAUGGAGCAAUGCCGCGUGAGUGAAGAAGGGUUUCGGCUCGUAAAACUCUGUUGUUAAAGAAGAACACCUUUGAGAGUAACUGUUCAAGGGUUGACGGUAUUUAACCAGAAAGCCACGGCUAACUACGUGCCAGCAGCCGCGGUAAUACGUAGGUGGCAAGCGUUGUCCGGAUUUAUUGGGCGUAAAGCGAGCGCAGGCGGUUUUUUAAGUCUGAUGUGAAAGCCUUCGGCUUAACCGGAGAAGUGCAUCGGAAACUGGGAGACUUGAGUGCAGAAGAGGACAGUGGAACUCCAUGUGUAGCGGUGGAAUGCGUAGAUAUAUGGAAGAACACCAGUGGCGAAGGCGGCUGUCUAGUCUGUAACUGACGCUGAGGCUCGAAAGCAUGGGUAGCGAACAGGAUUAGAUACCCUGGUAGUCCAUGCCGUAAACGAUGAGUGCUAAGUGUUGGAGGGUUUCCGCCCUUCAGUGCUGCAGCUAACGCAUUAAGCACUCCGCCUGGGGAGUACGACCGCAAGGUUGAAACUCAAAGGAAUUGACGGGGGCCCGCACAAGCG
rnacentral:rRNA from 2 species